AGGCGGAGAGCUGCUGCGGUGGGUGGGGCGUGCUCCCGACCUUGGGGCUGAUGCAUCCCUCUGCUUCCAAGUGUCGCGGUCAUGCAGAACUACCUGAUCGGUCGUCUCAGGCCUCUCUCUGCUCCCUUGCGGGCCUGGUUUACUUAUUCAGCGGAACUGGCCCCCUUCGGAGGAGUGGGCGGGGCCCGGUGUGGAGCCGGGCGCGGUGGUGCAGAGGCCGCAGUAGUCAGGGGAGGAUGGCGGUACAAAGGAGGUGAUGUCCGAGCCAAGGCUUUUUUUUUUUUUUUUUUUUAGCCAGGUCUUUAGGACUAAGCCGGAGUUUGCAUUGUGGAACGUUCGGGGACGCUGUAUUAACUGGUUUAUCUGCAUUACCACCGAGUCUUCCUAACAACUCGUGUUGGAGACUAGUAUUCCAUUUUAUAGUUGGGGAAACUGAAGCCUUAGCAACUGCCCAGCUUACGCCCACAGUACACGAUAGAGUCAGAAAUUGACUUCCCAAGCCUAGUCUCUUAAUCAUACCUGUGCACUGCCUCUCUACUACACCUAAAACCUGUGUUUUACAAAUGUCCUUUCAACACCAUUUGUCUCAGCUCUGUAUUCGUCGGCCCUCUGGGGGAUACAGCGAGGUAGAAGCCUUGGCCCCGUUCUGAACCAGUUGACCAAAAAUCCCGAGCAAAGCGCUCCAGUGAGAGGAGGGAGAGACAGCUGUCAGCUGGAGCUGCUGAAUGCAGCGCGAAGGAUGGAAGGAUGCUGAUUUGAGCUGGGCGUGAUUUGGAAGAUCCAGAGAAGGACAUUCCAGGUCCCGGACAGCCAAAGCGAAGUCUCACAGGUGGGUGAGAAAGGGAGUUCUUUCUCUAAACAAGCUCAUUUCAUCAGUUAGGCCACCAGCACAGGACACCAGGAAGCUGGCCGCCUUCCUUUGGGGCCACGUUUAGUUUUUUUCACUCUGUUUUAGAACAGGUGUUGAAACUCAGAAAACUACAGGGGUGGGCUGGUCAGGUGAAGAAGUUAGUAGCGUAGCUCCCUAUCUAACAGGAGCUGCUACCCCUCCACUCCAGCCAGUUAUAGCAAAGGAGCAAAGCUCACUCUGUGACAGCAUCUUCCCAUUUUCAAGAAAGCCAGAAAUCUAGAUUUUUUUACAUGAAAGUUCCCAGUCUGUAAUUAUAGGUAAAUCAUUAGAUUUAAAAAAAACACACACUGGAUAAAAUAACCAAAAUAAAUGUGUCAGGAUUCCUGUUGUGGCUCAGCAGGAUAUCCCAUGUUCUCUCUGUGAAGAUGUGGGUUCAAUCCCUGGCCUCAGUCACUGAGUUAAGGAUCCAGCCCUGUGGUGUAGGUCUCAGGUGCGUCUCAGAUCUGGUGUUGUGGCUGUGGCUUAGGCCUGCAGCUACAGCUCCGAUUCAACCCCAACCCAGGGAACUUCCAUAUGCAGCAGGUGCAGCCGUAAAAAUUAAAAAAAAAAAAAAUCUAUUAGCCAGUUGUUUUUUUCGGAGUUCCCGUCAUGGCACAGUGGUAAACGAAUCCAACUGGGAACCAUGAGGUUGCGGGUUCGAUCCCUGCCCUUGCUCAGUGGGUUAAUGCCAUGAGCUGUGGUGCAGUUUGCAGAUACAGCUCAGAUCCUGCGUUGCUGUGGCUGUGGCAUAGGCCGGUGGCUACAGCUCUGAUUACCUAGCCUGGGAACCUCCAUAUGCCG
rnacentral:lncRNA from 1 species